rfam:Rattus norvegicus chromosome 10, whole genome shotgun sequence.
GGGGAUUUAGCUCAGUGGUAGAGCACUUGCUUAGCAAGCGCAAGGCCCUGGGUUCAGUCCCCA